UACAAAUCUAGAUCUAUUCUGUGUCAUUUGGGUUUUUUUUUUUUUUAUUGCUUCCUACAAGUGGAGUAUGAAAACAUUUCUUUUCCAUUACUGGUUUUCUUUGUAGCGUAGCAUUAUUUUUGUUAUCUUUCUCAUGAAAGUCUAUAAACGAAUAAUAAACUUCCAUCCUAAAUAUGUUUAUGUUUUCAGAGUUCACUACUGAAAACGAGAACUACGAAUGUUUUUCUCAUUGUAGUUUUAAUGUUCUUUUUUGAAAAAUUCUAGGUGGUAUUGUAGACAAGUAACACAGAAGAGUUAAGUCACUGAAUUUUUUAAUUGGCUUAGAGUAAGCCUAGACUUCACUCACUAUAGAAAAGAAAAAGAAAUAAAAACUUUCUUUAAAACUUAUAAGCUAAAAGCAAUUGAUCUUUUAGUAUGUUAAUCUUGAUAGUUAUCUUGUGAUAGAAAUUGUGCUUCCUACUUAACUAGAUUGUGAUAUCCAUAAUUUAGUUACAUAAUACAACUGAUUGAGAUAGAUUUCUAUAAAUUAAUAGUAUUGGUUUUGUGUGUUAUCUUCUCCAAUUAAGUGAUGGGAUCUAUUUUUGUGAUAUUCGUAUUUAUGUUAAUGUGCUAAUAUGUGGUACCAUAAUUGAGUUUCCUGGAUUACUUGUCAUUGAUGUUGAUUUUUCAUGAGCUAGAUCUUCAAGAUGAUAAGUUGUUCUUUAUUGACCAUUGAAUAAUUUCUAUUUCAACAUAGGUAAAUUGUUAGUUCACUUUUUAUUUUCAAGUUGUUCUUUUUGUGUAAGUUUAAUUUUGCUCUCAUGUCAAUGUCAAGCGAUAGGAGCUCAAGGUAGUGUUUAUGAGAUUUUGGUGUCUUCUUUUGAUUUUCUCAUAUAUUCGUCGUCUUUUGACUUACUUGAGAAGUUACUUGCUCUUUUUGGGCUAUUUCAAUGUAGACAUCACAACAAUUUUCUUGUUAUUUAUGAUAAAUGUUGGCCCAAAUGUCAUUUAUUUCCUUGUUAAUUUGUUGUUUGGAAAGUUGGCAACUUGUGUAGCAGGUAAACUUUGUUCAUUUGCUUAUCUCAUAAUAUCGUAGUUGUUUUCCUAUUUGAUUUGAGAUCUUUGUUUUAGGAAAAAUAUCUCAUACAUAAUGCCUUGGUUCAAUUUUUCAGAAACAAAAGUCAUCUGGUGGUAUCUUUAUAUCAUAUUUGGUGGACACUAUAACAAAUAUUACAAAUUUUGUUAUUUCAACUUUUAAUGACAGUAUUGGAUACUUGAUGCAUCGAAUGUGAUUUGUAUUGAUAGUAUUGGAUAAACAAUUGUCUAUCGACAUAGUCGUUUCUAUGGGAUGAAUAUUGUUGAUUGAUGAUUUUGCAAGAGGUAUAUUCAUGAGAUGAUUUUGCAGUCAAUCUGAACUAUGAACUCUAGAUAUUAUAGCAGAUGAGAGAGCCUUAUGCUGUGUAGAUCCACAUAAGAGUAUUCAUCAAUAUCUUGAUUCCAUAAAAUAUUCACAUUUACUUGGUCUUGCUGCCAACUGGAAUCAUUUCUUCUAUUGUGGUUUGUUUUCCAUAAUAUAUUGAUUGCAUUCUGUUGUAAUUGACCUUUAGUUUUGCAACAUGUAGGAACCCCCAGUUGUUGGCUAAGCUUUAAAAAUCACUUCACUUGGACUUGGCUGCUUGUAUUUUCAGUGGGGGAUUGAAAAAAACUAAGUUUUUUCAAUUCUAUUUCUUCAGGAGUAUCAGUUUGUGGCUCAACUGGCUUCUUGCUGAUAUUUUGGCUCUUCUUGUCUGAUUUUUCAUUUAUUAUGAGCCCAAUUCAUCCUUCAAAGGUUUUUGGAUUGAGCGAAAGUAUGAUGUAGAAUGACGUUUUCUCAAUUGGUAGUCACUUGCUAAUCAACAACGAUGUUCAGAAAGCUCUCCAUGUGAAGUUUGUUGGAUUUUCGACAUGAAAAAUCUACAGAUUUAGGAAGUAAGUCUGCUAUUAAUAUUUUGUUUUUAAAUUUUUUUAUGAGAUAUUAGGUUUGAUUCUUAAUGUUGAAUUCUGUUUGGUUAGGGAAUGGAAAUAGGAUUUGAAUAUAGAUAACUACUAUAUGGUUAUUCUCAAAUACCCUUCUAACUAUUAUAUGGUUAUUCUACUUUGUAGUAUUUGAAUGUUGCAUUUUUGUUUUACGAUCAAAAUUUUCUCUUAAGGAGUGAUACACUGAGAACACACUACAAGAAAAAGGAGUUCUCUCGACGCCUAAAUAGAGCAUCGGGAAUUAGGUCGUCGGAAGAGACAGUCUCUCCCGAUAAAGUAAAGGUCGAGAACCCCCGACGAGUAAAACGUGUUUGACCGUCGGGCGGGGUCGGGAGAGGGAUUUGGUUUAAACUAGACUCCUUCUCCUUUCCCACUCCUCCAUUCUUCCCCCCCCCCCGCCGCACUUCCCAAAAUUUUCCCUCCUUCUCCAUUUUCUCCAUUUUUCCCAUCCAAUUUUUCUUCCAUUUUUCCUAUCCCAUAUCUCUCAUUUCUUCUUUUACAAUAUAAAAAAUGUUUUUCCACAACUCCUUUUCCUCCCUCUCCCAUUUUUUCCCCAUUUUUCGUCCACCGCCGCUCCUACCUUCGGUCAGCAGCUGCAAUCAAUUGCCCGCCGCUGCUGUCGUCUUCUCGCUGAAUAUUGUUGGGAGAUGAGCUGGGACAAUUGUUGAAGAUGCUGUAUUCAAGAAGUGUUCUAGAUGUUGUUUUGAUUUUACUUCUUUUAUGUAUUUGUGAUAUGAAUGUUUAUCGACUUCGUUUGGAUAUUGUAAUUUCUAGUAUCGACUGCGUUUGAAUAUUGUAAUUUUUUAUUUACUUGUUAUA